GGAGCUUGCUUUAUAUAACUUAGCAGCGAACGGGUGAGUAACACGUAGAUAAUCUAUCCUAUACUGGGGGAUAGCCCGAUGAAAGUUGGAUUAAUACCGCAUAUAGCUAUAUAGUUGCAUGAUUAUGUAGUGAAAGAUUUAUUGGUAUAGGAGGAGUCUGCGGCACAUUAGCUAGUAGGUGAGGUAAAGGCUUACCUAGGCGACGAUGUGUAGCCGGUCUGAGAGGAUGAACGGCCACAAUGGAACUGAGACACGGUCCAUACUCCUACGGGAGGCAGCAGUGGGGAAUAUUGCACAAUGGGGGAAACCCUGAUGGAGCAACGCCGCGUGAGUGAAGAAGGUUUUCGGAUUGUAAAGCUCUGUUAGCAGGGAAGAGGAAGGACGGUACCUGCAGAGGAAGCCACGGCUAACUACGUGCCAGCAGCCGCGGUAAUACGUAGGUGGCAAGCGUUGUUCGGAAUAACUGGGCGUAAAGGAUGCGUAGGCGGUUAAACAAGUUAUAUGUUAAAUAUAUAGGCUUAACCUGUAGAAAGCAUAUAAAACUGUUUAACUAGAGUGCAGGAGAGGUAAGUGGAAUUCCUAGUGUAGCGGUGAAAUGCGUAGAGAUUAGGAAGAACACCAGUGGCGAAGGCGACUUACUGGACUGUAACUGACGCUGAGGCAUGAGAGCAUGGGGAGCAAACAGGAUUAGAUACCCUGGUAGUCCAUGCUGUAAACGAUGGGUACUAGGUGUGGGUUGUGAAUAACAAUUCGUGCCGUCGCAAACGCAAUAAGUACC
rnacentral:rRNA from 1 species